rnacentral:pre_miRNA from 1 species
CUAAUACUCCCUCCGUUCCAAAUUACUCGUCGUAGAAAUGGAUGUAUCUAGAACUAAAAUACAUCUAGAUACAUCCAUUUCUGCGACGAGUAAUUCGGAACGGAGGGAGUAGAUG